rnacentral:misc_RNA from 1 species
AAUUGCGAGAGUUGGUAGCAGUGUUUGAGACGCCUUAUGGCCGUAUUUUAGUAAAAUACGUAUUAGUCGUUUUAAUACUUGUGAUAAUUUGGAAAAAAGGCAUCAGUAGUCUUAUAAAGCUUUCAAAAAAUUGCAGACUUUUCUGAAUUGUUAUCAAUAAUAACCAAUGUUUUGUUAGCACUCUGUUUAAUCCAAUUAUUGCCCCGAAUAAUCAUCAAAAAUAAUUUCCGCGCAUGGAAUGUACUUUGUAUUAUUAAGUUUUAGUGUUGUAAAUAAUUAGUACAUUUGAUCGAUAAAGUAAGAAACUUGAAAAAUUAAAAUCAAUUUUUACAUAUAAUUGUGAUGUAACGAAAAUGCCUACUUAGAAGUCGAGUGCGCGCGCGCGCACUCCCGACUUCCGUAUGUCACACACACACACACACACACACACAUAUAUAUAUAUAUAUAUACAUAUGUAGCAAUAUUAAAGUGUUGAUUUUUUUUUACAACGAUUAGUGUAUAACUACUAAAGUAGAACUAUUUUUAAUUAUUUCGGUUUAAAAUGAGCGGCGACAUGUUUGAAGGAAAAGAUUAUCCAACGCAAUGGGCAUUGAAUCCUUCCGCAUAUCAAAAUAUGAGUAAUGAUCAAGUUGAUUGGGCUGCAUUAGCUCAACAAUGGAUAAAAAUGAAGGAAACGAUUGUUCCACCUGCUCCGCCACCACCAUCCAUCGAUUCCUUGUGUCCAGGAAAUGACAGUAGCGGUGAAGCACCUAUGGAUAUGGAUACCAAAGAAGAUGAUAUCCCACCAGCACCACCGGCUCCCACAAUCAGUGGUUCUGAUGCUUGGACUCAAUGGAGUCAAUGGGGACAUUGGAAUACAUCUAAUUCUAGUACUGGAACUUGGGAAUGGACUGGCGUUCCACCUCCUGGAGUUAGUAUAGGUCCUGAUGGAAAACCAACAGCGGUACCUACAUUACCAAUCAUUCCACCUGGUCCAACGAUAUCGACUACAGAAUUUAAUGUACCACCUCCAGUAACACCAUCGUUGUAUUCUUACAAUUCUGCACCUCCAUCACAACCAUAUAAUCAACAAGUCGGUAAUUUUUGGUCUGGUGGCGAAUCUUCAACUGCUGUGCCUUCUCAACCAUUACUUUAUAUGAAAGGCAUUCGACAUACCAAUAGAAUACCACACAUGAGAACUAUUGAUGCAGUAAGAUGUAGAAACAAUAGGGAAAAAACACCAGAAGAAGAUACAACUACCACUAUUGAUGCAGCUAAACGUCGUCAAUUGCCAGCAUGGAUUAGGGAAGGAUUAGAAAAGAUGGAAAGGGAAAAGCAAAAAGCAGUGGAACGUGAGAGGCAAGAAAUUUUACGAAAACAAGAAAUAGAAGCGCGUAAAAAAGCUGAAGAUGAAGCUCGUUUAGUACUAAAUCCUGCCAAAAGUAAAUUUGAUUCAGAUUCGGAAAAAGAAGCAGAUCAAGAAUUCGAGACAAGUUCGACAGAACAGAAUAUAAGCAGCAAAAAAAAUUACGAACGAACCCCAGAUGUUAUACUUCGACCGAGAAAAUCGCGUUUUCGAGAUGCUGAUUCACCUGAACCAAACAUACCCCCCGUUGACAAUAGUCCACCACCGGUUUGUAGUAGUAGUACGGCUGUUACUGUUGUUAAACGAUCGCAAGAGGAAAUAUUGCAGGAAGUGAUGUUGAAAGUUCGAAGAUCUCUAACAGAAAUUCUUUUGGAAGUGACAAACGAAGAAAUAGCUGGAGUAUGCAGAGAGGUUUGGAAUCGCGCACGUGCCAAAGCCCCUGCAGGAGAGCACUCAGUCGCAUCCUUCAACAACACGGCCCCUCUUGCUCAGAUCACUCGAAAACUUGGUCUGGGCAUCUACGGUGACAGUAAUAGCGAAUCCGAGGAAGAACAGAACGAACAAGAACAACUUCAAAACAAUGACAGCGACGAAGAACUUAUGGAAACUUUGAGACGUCGGCAGCAGGCCUUCAAAAAGACAGAGAAGGAGAUUGAAGCACGUCUUGCGGCAGAAGAGGAAAACGAAGAUCAAUACAAUGCACAAGAGGAAAAUCAUAUUGGUAAUACUAGCUGCAGAGAUACAGUUGAUGAGAAAGAAACGGUAAAUAUUCAAAGAGCAGCAUCUGAAAGUUUAUCGAGUGAAGAACAAAGUCAAGGAGAAGUAAAUGUCUCUGCGGAUGUAGUCAAAGCUGAUACACCGUCAGCUGGAUCAGUCAAUUCUGAAUCUAGUAAUUCUGAUACAACAAGCUCUGAUACAAGUCGUGCUUCGACUAAAAAGAAUAAAAAGAUAAGUAAGAAAAGUGAUCGAAGCGAUCAAAAGAAACGAAAAACUAAAAGUAGAAGUAAAUCAAGGGGCAAGAAAUCGAGAUCACGUUCUUCGGAACGUACGCGAAAACGUUCCUCGAGAUCGAGAUCAGUGAAGUCGCGUAAGGGACGACGUUCAAGAUCGAGCAAUUAUAGGUCCAGUAGAAAGCGUAGAUCCAAAUCACGAUCUCAUCGAAAACGAUUGAGAUCAAGAUCUAGAAGCUGCCGAAGAUCAAGGUCAUUGUCUGGAUCAAGAAAAUGGUCCCGAUCGCGUUCUAGUGGAAAAAAGAAGUCUCAUUCGCAUUCCAGAGAAAGAAGAAGUCGAUCUCGUUCGAUAAGGCGUAGCAGAUCUCGUCUGAGGGUGAAAAGAAAGUCAUCAUCAAGAACUAGAGAUAGAUCACGUUCUCGUUCGCGAGAUCGUCACAGAUCGCGAUCUUAUGUUUCUAGAAGUAGAAGGAGAAGUCACUCUAGAUCUAGGGAACGUAGAAGGUCACAAUCAAAAUCGCAUCAAUGGAACACUCGUGAUGGUAAGAAGUCGUCAUCGCAUCGAUUCAGGAAUUGAGUGAGCCUGUUCAACUUCAAGCAAAGCAUUUUCCACUGGCUUCCAGUUGGCUUCAAUAUGUCAUUCUGCCUCAGUCCAUCAGUGUAUACUACCAUGGUAGUUCAUUCGUUUAAAAUAUAUCACAUUCAGUCUCUCCCGAACUGUAUAAGAAGAGAAAGAUCACCAGCUUCUAUUGCACGAAAAGGAUACAAAGCCACCACAACCUUUGCUCUAGUAACUACUUUGUCCUAAAA